GGAGGAAGGUGGGGAUGACUUCAAGUCAUCAUGGCCCUUACGACCAGGGCUACACACGUGCUACAAUGGUAGGUACAGAGGGUUGCUACACAGCGAUGUGAUGCUAAUCUCAAAAAGCCUAUCGUAGUCCGGAUUGGAGUCUGCAACUCGACUCCAUGAAGUCGGAAUCGCUAGUAAUCGUAGAUCAGAAUGCUACGGUGAAUACGUUCCCGGGCCUUGUACACACCGCCCGUCAAGCCAUGAAAGCCGGGGGUACCUGAAG
rnacentral:rRNA from 1 species